GUAGGUGGCAAGCGUUGUCCGGAAUUAUUGGGCGUAAAGCGCGCGCAGGUGGUUCUUUAAGUCUGAUGUGAAAGCCCCCGGGCUCAACCGGGGAGGGGUCAUUGGAAACUGGGGAACUUGAGUGCAGGAGAGGAAAGUGGAAUUCCACGUGUAGCGGUGAAAUGCGUAGAUAUGUGGAGGAACACCAGUGGCGAAGGCGACUUUCUGGCCUGUAACUGACACUGAGGCGCGAAAGCGUGGGGAGCAAACAGGAUUAGAUACCCUGGUAGUCCACGCCGUAAACGAUGAGUGCUAAGUGUUGGGGGGUUUCCGCCCCUCAGUGCUGCAGCUAACGCAUUAAGCACUCCGCCUGGGGAGUACGGUCGCAAAGACUG
rnacentral:rRNA from 1 species